rnacentral:lncRNA from 1 species
GAGCGAUCCCGGAAGGAGCCGAAGCGACAAUGCGGGGGAAGAGGUGAGCGAGGGGCGGGCCGCGGGAGGAUGGGGAAAUGGGGCGCGCGCAAGGGGUGAGGGGUGAUGGUGCAGUGAGGUCACUGCCUACGCCCUGGCGGUAGAGACGCUCCCGCCUCACCUCCCUCCCCGCAGCUUGCGCCCCGCCACCGCCCGCCCUGCGGACAGUCGUCUGCAUCGCACCACUCCGCCCUGGGAGCUCUUCCAGGACUGCGGAGAAGGGCGGGGCGGGGGUAUCGCUGCAGUCUGGCUGGGGAUGCUGCGCGCCCCGGCCGGAAAAACGCCCAGUCCCAAAGGGUGAGAUCACCCGAGUGCGUCUCUUCCUGCUCACUUUCCCGAGGAGGAGGCUGGCGCUGGGGUCCCAAGUCAGCCUAAUUCGGUGGGGGCUGGGGUCAAGAAGACGCGGAUGAUUUGGGGCCCCGGGUUUGAGGAGGUGGUGAGAGGAAAAGGCCAAAUCCGAAUCAGAAAAAAAAUUAAGUCGACUAAUUUGGGGCAUAAAGCUGUCAUUCUGGGAUUUGGAGAGUUAAUUUCUUAUGUUCUUGGAGAUUAUGGGGGAGGAAACGGCAGCGGCAAAAUAAUAAUUUCUUACAUUCCUGCAACAAAAGCUUUCUCACAGGUCGCCAGUGGAAUAGGCUACAUUCAUCCUAUUUCAUAAACAAGACAUUAAGGUUCUUUCUGGCACAAUUAAUCGAACUUGCCUUGUGUACUAGGCACUAUGCUAAGUAUUUCGUGUUACCUUUUCAUUUCUUAAUCUUUGCAAUAAUUUUAUGAGAUGUUUUCCCAUUUUACAAAUGGGCACUCUUACAUAAUGCUCAUGUAGGCUAAGUCUCUUGGCCCAGGUCAGGCAGCUACCAAUUGGAAGAGCUAGGAUUUACAUCUCAGCAGUCAGAACCUUCCCUUUGCAACCGUAUGUGUAUUGCCUUCAAAUAGGAAAGGGAGGCAUUUUGAUGCGGGUGGCUGCUGGGGUGCAGAAAGAGAAAAAUAAGAUUCUCAGAAUUUCUGAUACUUAAAGUCCUAGCAGUUUAAGGUCCUGGCUCUAAACUCUGUAGCCAGAAGCCCUGGAUUAGGAAGCCCUUUCCCUAUCCCCAUUCCGGUGACAGCUGGGCCGCAGCCACUGGGAGUAACACCCAGAUCAUUCCUGUGCAGUCAGGCAGACGGGGAGCUCUGCAGCUUAGGAAGGCUUCAGCCUCCUGGUUACCAAGCAGCUCUCCUCUUUAAAUAAAUAUAAAGUCAUUGGACACUGCACCAGAAUCUGGGCCCAGACCUGGCCCUGAGCUUCCUGGCCCUCUGCAGUUUGGCUUCUUUCCCCGUGCCUGGGACCUGCAAUACGGUUUCUAAGCUGUCCUGGCUGUAGCCAUGAUACUGAGGAAAAAUUUCCCUACCCACUCACUCCAUUGGAGUGGAGAGAAAAGCAGUGACCACACCCCAGAAGCUGCUUUAGAGAAUCUGUGUAGGAGAAACGUAGGAGCUGAGAGGCAUUUCCUGCAAUCUUCUAUGUAGAGAAAACAGCGCUGAGCAACUCCUCCCUGGAGUGUGCAUUUCUGAGAACAGCUGAUGGUAUCCGUGGCCUCUUCUCCAGCAGGUUGCAGUAAAAUGUUUGAUCAGAUAUUCAGCUCUGGGUACAAAAUGGCUAACACAAUUGUAGCUCCCUAAAAUUUCCAAGACCUUCUGCUCCAGCAAAGAAAGCACCUUGGGACUGAGGGGCAGGAGCUGUUCAAAAGGGAGGGUUUUUCUAUUAAAUCACCCUGGCCCCAUAGUGAACUGGGGGUUCUGCUGCUUUUGCUGGAUGCAAAAUGGAGACCUAAGAGAGAGCUCUGUAUUGAUAGAGAAACUAAAAUCUUAUUUGAUUCUUUGUGUGAUCUGAGACAUGACCAAGAAACAGUAUCCCCAGCGCUCUCCACCUCCCACCCACUCACCCUGCCUUCUCUGCACUUGGCACUUGAAACCAGCCAUUCUUCACUGUUCUGUUGUCUGCCUACCUCACCUCCCACCAGUUUCACCAUAUGCCUAACACCCUAGUAGGUGUGGAAAGCUGGGGGAAAAAACAACAACAGAAAAAGCACAGGACAGUGUAACGACUUUGUAACCAAUCAACUCCAUGUUCUCAGUCACACCUCUCCUGGCCUCCUAAAAAGCAGAGGGUUGGACUGAAUUCUCAACUCCUUUUUCUAGUUUCAGCAAUCCUCAGAAGGUUUGAUAGGCACCCUAAGCUUAAGCGUCUAGAUAGUCCCAAUACUUUUUCAGGUUGUUGAAAAGGUCAACUGUUGGAAAACACACUAAUUGUGGUGAUGUGUCCAUAUGUUCCAGCCAGGGAAAGUCACUUGCCCACUCUCCCUGGGAGAGACCCCUUCCCCUCCCCUCCCCUCCACACCCUGUCUCACCCCCUGCAAAGAUAACAGGCAAGCACUUCCACUAUUUUUCUUCCCUAGAAGGGAGCUGAUUGGGAAGAGUCAUGCUGGCAAGUGGACUGCACUUCCCAUAUGACAUUCUGCAGUGUCAGAGCUGGCAAGAAAUAACACAGCUCUUCAAAUCACAGUGCCUGGAUGAACCUUGAAGGCUUUAUGCUAAGUGAAAUACGCCAGACACAUAAGGAUGAAUACUGUAUGACCAUUCCACUUAUAUGAGAUCCCUAAAAUUGUCAGAUUCAUAGAGACAGAAAAAACUGUUGUUACCAGGGUCUGAGGGGAGGGAGGAAUGGGUUAUUAUUGUUUAGUGGGAAAGUUUCCGUCUGGGAUGGUGAAAGAGAGUUCUGGAGAGGAUGGUGGUGAUGGUUGCACAACACUGUGACUGUACAUAAUGCCACAGAACUGUACACUUACAAAUGGUUAGGCAGGGCUUGGUGGCUCACGCCUGUAAUCCCAGCACUUUGGGAGGCUGAGGCGGGCGGAUCACUUGCGGUCAGGAGCUUGAGACCAUCCUGGCCAACAUGGUGAAACCCUGCCUCUACUAAAAAUACAAAAAUUAAUCGGGUGUGGUGGUGCACACCUGUAAUCCCAGCUACUCGGGAGGCUGAGGCAGGAGAGUCGCUUGAACCCGGGAGGCGGAGGUUGCAGUGAGCCAAGAUCGCGCCAUUGCACUCCAGACUGGGCGACAGAUUGAGACUCCGUCUCAAAAAAAAAAAAAAGGUUAAACUUUUUAUGUUCUAUAUAUUUUACUACAAUCAAAAGACAAAGCAAAACACAAGCCCCUGCUUCUAAAAUCAAGCACCACAUUAGAGAAGCAGCCUGAUAGGCUCUGGGAGUGUGGCCUUACCAGGGUUUUAAGACUCCAGGUGACAGCAGAGAUGUAAACUCCUCCCUCCCCUCCCCUAAUCCGACCUUGUAAUCUGGCUCCGGUCAUUUCACAUCUGUUCCCUUGCAGGGCUGCCUGCUAGGCCUGGUCAGUCCGUGUCCCUCCUGCUUACCUUGAACCCACUACUACAGUUAGUUUCACAAAUCACGUCAAACCUUCUCAACAAGUUUCAGUUGUUUCCCAUUGCCUACGGAAUAGGCCGAAAUUUGCAGCCUCCACAAUCUUGUUCCAAUUUACCUUUUCACAGCAUCAUUCCCUACAGUUCUGCUCUACUGGUCUGAGGUUAGCCUCUUUCCAAAACAUGUUAUUUCUCCAACUCCAUGCUUUUGUGAACAAUUUUUUCCUCCAAUUAGAACAUCCUUUCCCAACACUCAUGCCUCCUUUCUGCCUGAAAAUCUUACCCAUUUUGAGUAUAUGUAAGUAGAACCUUUCUGGAAGAGCAGUUGGCAAUGUGGAUCAAAAUAUAAAAUUUGCAUGCCAUUUGACCCAGCAAUGUUAGUUACAUCUAGAAAUCUGCCUUAAGCAGGACAAGAUGCAUUUUCAUUCAGGACGGGCGUGGUGGCUCACACCUGCAAUCCCAGCACUUUAGGAGGCUGAGGCAGGCAGAUCACUUGAGCCCAGGAGUUUAAGACCAGCCCGGGCACCAUGGCAAAACCC